rnacentral:rRNA from 1 species
GUAGUUAGCCGGGGCUUCCUCCUUGGCUACCGUCACUUCCUUCGUCACCAAGGACAGAAGUUUACAAUCCGAAAACCUUCAUCCUUCACGCGGCGUUGCUGGGUCAGGCUUUCGCCCAUUGCCCAAUAUUCCCCACUGCUGCCUCCCGUAGGAGUCUGGACCGUGUCUCAGUUCCAGUGUGGCCGUUCAGCCUCUCAGCUCGGCUACCCAUCGUUGGCAUGGUGGGCCGUUACCCCGCCAUCUACCUAAUGGGACGCGAGCCCCUCCUUCUGCGGAUUUCUCCUUUGACCUCAUCCCGAUGCCGGGUCGUGGUCUUAUGCGGUAUUAGCACUUGUUUCCAGGUGUUAUCCCCCUCAGAAGGUCAGGUUGCUCACGCGUUACUCACCCGUUCGCCACUAAGCUAUAUCCGAAAACAUAGCUCCGUUCGACUUGCAUGUGUUAGGCACGCCGCCAGCGUUCGUCCUGAGCCAUAAUCAAACUCUGA